AUUUCCACCUUACAAACUGCCAAGUUCAUCAUUAGGCAAGAAGCACAAACAGAUAGUAAAAAAAUUUCCAUCACAAAACCAGGCCAGUGCUUUUGCUAUGUCACAAUAGGAUAGGAUGCUACAGUUUCAGCGUCAAAUAUACUGAUUAAGUUCAUUAUCAAUUGUUUUCCGAACAACUUCAAUCUCACCCACAUAACAGUAAAAAAUUUCCAUGGCCCCUUCAAGUUCUAGGCUUCUUUGGUGUGCCGGAGUUCCCAGGCUCAGCCUGGCGUUUUAUUCCCAAAAAGUGCUCAACCUUUUUGUCACCAAGCAUGGGUGUUAGGCCCCCUGGAAGAUCCUUCUCAACAGUUGCAAAACCACUUCUGGGAUCACUUGUUUGCCCUGGCUUCACAUGACCGCUAAGGACGAGGUAAGGUGUUUUCAACUGAGCCUGGGCUUCCCUCAUCCGCUCAACAGACAAUGAUGGUGUAUCUGAAUUCUUCAUUUGCUUCAACUUCAGUUCUUCCUGAUAUUGCUUCAUGCGCUUUUCUUGCUUCAUUUUGCCGGGCCCUUUUCCAUGGAAUUUAUGAGAAAUCAUCCUAAAGGC
rnacentral:misc_RNA from 1 species